rnacentral:rRNA from 1 species
UACGUAGGGUGCAAGCGUUUGUCCGGAAUUAUUGGGCGUAAAGAGCUCGUAGGCGGCCUGUCGCGUCGGCUGUGAAAACCCGAGGCUCAACCUCGGGCCUGCAGUCGAUACGGGCAGGCUAGAGUUCGGUAGGGGAGACUGGAAUUCCUGGUGUAGCGGUGAAAUGCGCAGAUAUCAGGAGGAACACUGGUGGCGAAGGCGGGUCUCUGGGCCGAAACUGACGCUGAGGAGCGAAAGCGUGGGGAGCGAACAGG